UACGGGGGGGGCGAGCGUUGUUCGGAAUUACUGGGCGUAAAGCGCACGUAGGCGGACUUGUCAGUCAGAGGUGAAAUCCCGAAGCUUAACUUCGGAACUGCCUUUGAUACUGCAAGUCUUGAGGAUGAGAGAGGUAAGUGGAACUGCGAGUGUAGAGGUGAAAUUCGUAGAUAUUCGCAAGAACACCAGUGGCGAAGGCGGCUUACUGGCUCAUUUCUGACGCUGAGGUGCGAAAGCGUGGGGAGCAAACAGG
rnacentral:misc_RNA from 1 species